GACCCUCUGGCCUAAUGGAUAAGACGUCGCCCUCCGGAGGCGAAGACUGCUGGUUCGAGUCCUCUCAGGGUCG
rnacentral:tRNA from 1 species